AAAAGUCAAGCCUUUUGGCAAUACGCCAAUCUCCCUCUCCCUGAUUGCGCUCUCCUUCCUCUUUCUUUCGUCGAGGAGAGGAAAGACCAAGCUCGUAGCAGUGGUCGUUUUAUCCUGUUCUUGAUCCAAUGUGGAGACAAGUUCUGUUCGUUAUACCUGACUCGUUUAAGAAGAGCAGAAACUCUUUUGAUUCAAUAGGGGGUGGAGUAUCAAAGGAGAAACUCUAAUACGAGGUAGGGCACAUAUUUGUGUUUUCUGUGCUUCUUGGCCUCUCCUUGAUCGUGCUCUCCUUCCUCUUUCUUUCGGAGGAGAGGAAAGACCAAGCUCGUAGCAGUGGUGGUUUUAUCAUGUUCUUGAUCCAAUGUGGAGACAAGUUCGGUUCGUUAUACCUGUCUCAUUUAAGAAGAGAAGAAAGUCUUUUGAUUCAAUAGGGGGUGGAGUAUCAAAGGAGAAACUCUAAUACGAGGUAAGGCACGUAAUUGUGUUUUCUGUGCUUCUUGGCACUGGCUGGCCUAGUGUUACCUAUAGCAAUACCAAUUGCUAGUCUAUUAAGAUUGAUUUUCUUUGCUAGCUCUCUUUCUAUAUGAGAGAUUACAUUGAUAGCUACUAGGGUAAUCAGAUCAAAGGUUAGCCAGCCAAUAGAGCCCCCCGCCCGAUUUGGUAUAUAGCCAAUCUCUCUUCUAUAGCACUGGUGUAUUGAUAGGUUUAUGGGUACUCAUCUAGAUAGCACUACUAAUAAAAUAGAAAGGUACUGUAUUGAUAUAGCACUAAAGCCCAGAGGUAUUGUAUGAAAAUAGUCAUGGAUAGCCGAUUGGAAGCUGAAAAGAAAAAGCAGUAAAAGAAAGCCCGCCUCUUCUUCAUUCAAGGCAAGGCUCUCUAUUGGCUUUGCCACUACUUCAGUUGACUUAACUCUCUCCUGACUUGAGUUAGUAAAGUGCAAUACUAGAGUGGGCUGGCUUCCCGCGGUGUAAAUGGCCUAACCCGCCCGUCCCUUCCACCUUAGGCUAGCCAAGGCGUAGCCUAGGGAUUAUUGCCUUGCCUUGAUCUGCUGCGAACUCUUUUGGACAAGAGUUGAUGUCCCUCCCGGAUCAGGGAGCAUUAGGAUAUGAUAUAAUGAACGCGGAGCCCUGCUUGCUUCU
rnacentral:lncRNA from 1 species